ACUUUAUUAAAAAUGAGCCAAAGACUGUAACAUUUACCUCACUGAAGAAGAUAUACAAACGGCAAAUGAGCACAUGGAAAGAUACUCUACAUCCUAUGGCAUCAGGGAAACACAAAAGAAAACACCAGUGAGAUACUACUAAACACCUAUGCAAAUGGCCACAAUUCAGAACACUGACGACAACAACAAGUGCGGCUAAGGAUGUGGAGCAACAGGAACUCACAUUCAUUGCUGGAGGGAAUGCCAAUGGUGCAGCUACUUUGGAAGACAGUUUGGCAGUUUCUUAAUGAAACUAAAUGUGCUCUUACCAUAUAAUUCAGCAACAGUGGUCCUUGGCAUUUCUCUAACAACGUUAAAAACUUAUGUCCACACAAAAACCUUCACAUGGAUGAUUUUGGCAGUGUUAUUUAUAAAUGUCAAAACUUAAAAAACAACUAAGAUGCCCUUCAGUAGCUGAAAGGAUAAAUGAACUGUGGUACACCCAGACAGUGGAAUAUUUUUCAGAGCUAAAAGGAAAUGAGCUGUUAAGCCAUGAAAAUUCAUGAGGAAACCUAAAUGCAUAUUCCUAGGGAAAGAAGCCAAUGUGAAAGCCUACAUAUUAAGUGAUUCCAACUUUAUGACAUUCUGGAAAAGGCAAACCUGUGGUGAGAGGGCAAAGAUCAGGAAUUGCGAGGGAUUUGGGAGGAGAGGGGUGAAGAGUCAGGGCUCAGGAGGUUUCUAGGGCAGUGAAAAUACUCCAUAUGACAUUAUAAUGAUGGAUGCAUGUCAUUAUACAUUUGUCCAAACCCAUAGAUGUACAACACCAAGAGUGAAUAUCAUGUGAACUAUGGAUUUAGGGUGAUUAUGAUGUGUCAGUGUAGGUUCAUCAAUUGUAACAAAUGUACCUUGAGUGGGGCUGUUGACAAGGGGAAAUGCUGCAUGUGUAGGGGCUAGGAGGGAUAUAGGGAAUUUCUAUACCUUCCCCUCAGCUUUGCUGUGAACCCAAAAUUGCUCUAAGAAAGUUUUACUUUUAAAAGUAAUGUAUGAAAACUGAUGGAUGAAAGUGGUUUGCAACCAAAUUGCAUCCAGGAUGCAGGUUUUAAAGCUCUAAAUUAAAAUAUAACCUAGUCUUGUAUUAUCGUAUGGUUAAGGAAUGAGAUAAACUAUGACCACUAAAAUGCCAAUCAUACAUAGAUCACCAGUUUUUAAAGAAAAUAGCAUUCCUUAAUUUCCUCCAUAACAACUUUUUGAGUGCCAGCUGCAUGCAUACUACGCUACUCCGCUGAGUAUAUAACAUGUGACAAGACACCUACACAGCAUCCCAGAAUCGUGACUUGUGAUAUCCAUUUCUUUAAGUCAGGCACACAGCAGCAUCUCUGUAAACAUUGUUGGUUGAGUAAACCAAUGAAUGAAUGAAUGAAUGAGUCCAUCAACCAAUCAGUGAUUAUCAUUUGCAGAAUAGCCAUGUUCUGUUCUCAGUGGUAUUUUCAGCUCACGAAGAUGAGGUAUCAUCAUACCUUGGAACAUAAAUGUGUCAUUAUCAUUUCUAUUCUUGAGAAAUAUAGUUUAGAUCACUCCAUUUUAUAUAUUUUUAGUUACAAAGUCCAUUAAAUGCAUUCAUGAAAAACCAGCGGUGAAUUAAAAAAAACAUAUUUUUAUCUAUCACAAAUGUUAUAAUGAGCUCCUAGUGUAGCAUACUGAUGAAUUGUUUAAGCUUCAAGGAAUUUUAAAUUUGACUUAAUGUUAAAUCAUAGUCUUUUAAAGCUAUUUUAAGAAGUAAAUUGCUAUAUAUGUCAGUAGUCAAAAUGUCUAGCUCAUUAAUUUCCUUUUUUACUUACAUCUAUAUCAAAAUAUAACAUCCAAGACAUUUUUAAAGCUUACUUUUCUUCACUGAAAAUGAAGAGUUUAGCUAUACAGUUUUUAUUUUAUUUCCUAUACCCACCAUUCAUUAUAUUAAACUACCCAAUUGACUGCCAAGCAGCUAGACCUAAAUUUUCUCAAAUUGAUUUUCAGGUGAAAUUUGUGAGGCUAAUCUAAUAAUCAAUGGGCUACUUUGUGAACUGCAUAUAAAUUAUGCACAUUAUUUUGAGAGAUUUUGAACUGGUCUAUUUACUAGUUCAGUUUUGUCAGUAGGAUACCAUUGCAAACUAAGUGUUGUAUCUUCUGCAAUACCAGUCUCUUACUGGAGAACAUCACAGAAUCAUUCACUUCUAUAAGCUGAAGAGAAGAUUUAGAUUACUCUUAUUUCACAAGAAAGAUGGAGGUCAUAGGAAAUACGGUGAGGGAAUUUUGGCCCCUCACCCCCUGUCUAGUGCCCAUGACUCUUGCACCCCACCCCCAAGACUACAUAUGUUGUAUUAAAGAAUAAGUAUUAUGCGAUACUCUCUUUGCGGGCUGUAGCUUUAUUAUGUCUUUAUGUAUAUACUGCAGCCCAGGUCACAUGACUUAAGAUCAAGUGGUAGAGUCUUCAACCUAAAUAAAAAGUCCGCUUACCUCCAAAGAAGUAAAAUGACAAUGUGUUGAAUGACAGCCUUAAAUGUUUGCUUCAAGAAGGUUUAUUUCCUGGUUAUAGGAAUUCUUGUUGUUGUUUUCAAUAUGUAUCUGUAUACUUGUAUAUUUUAGGUAAAAUUAUUUUUAAAGAUAUUUGAUGACACAUUAGUAAUACUGUACUACACCUUCAUCGAACAUCAAAUUAUGGGCAAAGCCAAGCCCAGAGUGUUUCCAAAGAAUCUCAGUAGAUUUCACGGGCUUGUGCACGAAAUCUCACAUAUUGAUGCAAAGAAAGAGACCCAGAGUCUAGUGAUUCUCAUGUCACAGAUCAGUCUAACAGAUGCUUUUCCACUUUUAGUGCUGUAGACUAAAAGAAACAUUGUAGACUACAAUAAACAUGAAUAAUACAGAUAAUCCCAGUUAUAAUAAUCAUUAAACAUUGAGAACCUGAAAAUCUGCCAUGAGUCAGGUACUGUCCCAGGUAUAUCUCUAGUCCUCACAUCAGCUCUACAACCUGAGAGCUGUAUGCUGAUUUCAGAGUUCAGACAAUGAGAUUAGGUGUGUUUUGCUUUGUCUGAGAUCAGUCUCAAAGAGUAGAAUGUAGAAAGGGAGUCAGUCUGACACUGGACCUGCAGAUCUGUUAUUACCACAAAGUGCGCCCCUGAAAAUAAUGAACCCGUGGGGAUAACAACCUCAUGCUCGGAAGCAGCCUUGACUAUUUUCAAUGUUAAAAAAAAGAUCAAAGUAUUAUAAGAAAGCUAAGAAGCAAAUCAUCACAGAGCAGGACUGAAAAGACUGCUUUCUGUCAUUGCUACGUGACUGCUCAGUGUGGCUUAUAUUCAUCUGCUGUUAUUCAUAUUAUUAUUCAUAAUAUCAGAUGACAUUUAUUGAGCUGGGUCAGGGAAGGCUUCCUGAAGGAAGGGAAAUAGUAGUGGUGACCUGAGUGGUUAAUUACCAAUUGAAAAAUGCAUGGGACACAGGGAGAUAGAUGGUAGCAGUGGGGUGGGGGAGGUUGUCCAUGUGGAAACAGCUCGUACAAAGGCACAGAUAUGGCACACUGUUAUGGGUUGAAUUGCAUCAAAGAUUAUAUGUUGAAGUCCUAACCCCCAGAACCUCAGUAUGUGCCCUUAUUUGUAAAUAGGGUUGUUGCAGAUAUAAUUAGUUAAGAUGAGGUCAUCCAGGAGUAGAGUGGGCCCCUAAUCUUAUAUGACUGGGAUCCUUUUAAGAAGCUGAGCUUUGGACACAGACACACUGGGGCAGGAUGUGUGUGCCCUGUGAAGAUGAAGUCAGAGACAGGGCUGAUGCAUCUACAAGCCCAGGAACACCAAAGAUUUCUGGGUAACCACUGGCAGCUAGGGGAGAAGCAUGGGACAGAGACUCCCUCACAGACAGCUUCGGAAGGAAUCCUUGCCACUGAUGUCUUGACCUUGGAUUUCCAGCCUCUAGAACUCUCAGACUAUAAAUUUCUGUUGUUGAAGUCACUCCAUUGGUUAUAGUAAUCCUAGCAAACUUACACAGGGACCAAGGAGUUCAAAGAGAGGCAGUAUGGCUCGUGACUUUCAUUCCUUAAUGAAGGACAAAGUGUCCUCUAACAACCAGUGCGAUGGCAGAGAAGUGCCCUGGCAAUGUUGGAGCUAUUUCAUUCAUAAUGGCCGCUGUCUCAUAAAACACAUGGUGGGACUAAAACUUGUGCACUAUGGUCUAUUAAAUGUGCUUAAAAAGCAAUUGACUUCACUGUGUUAUAUGGUUAUUUGAUAAAUGUUUAGCAUCUAUGAUGUGCCAUGUUCUAUAGGAUAGUUGAAAAGCUUGGACUAAAAACUAAAAACUGUGAACAGAACUAAGAGUUCCCAUAUUUGAGGAGACUUUGGACAAUAUCCCGGCUUCUUGGGGUAUCAGUGUCCUCAUCAGCUUCCCCAAGGAUGGGAGAUUAAAUAAGAUUACAGUGGACACACGCGUUUAGUGGAUUUCGUGCUUCAUAGCAGGAACACUGUAAUGGAGAUGUAUUAUUAUUGUUGUUGUUUUCUAUUGCUUAGGUUGGGGAGAUGUGCAUGCCAUCAUCCCAUCCCUUUGGGCUCCUGGUCUCCUCCUGCCCAUGAGACAUGUUGCCAGUUUCUGGCUCUGUUUCCCGGCUCUUCAUUUCCAGCUUCCAAUGGGGCCUGACGAUCAGAUGGCCAUGAUUAGUUCUUUGGCUUGCAUUGCAGAUUAUCUAUUAAGUAUCCAUCUUCUCGGCCACUGAGGCAUAUGGUGAGCACUUCCAGGGCUUAAAAUAAAUCUGCAUUUUAACAUGUGGGAUCUUAUUAUGCAAAAGAGAGCUCACACGGGGUCUAACCUUGUUAUUUGUUAUGCCACCCACGUCUGCUUGUGCAUUCUGGAUGGAACAGUACAUCAGGCCCUGGGCCUUUCAUUUGAUGACAGUGCAUAGACAUUGUGAGUGAAGACAUCCUAGGAAGUAGCGUCAGCCCUCAACUGCACACGAUGCAGGAAAGGAGAGAGAGGGUGAAGAGUCAUUUCCCUUUCUCUUUCUGCAGACACAUCCUUCAGUUUUCAACCCAACACUUUUUAGCACCUACUAUGUGCCAGCUGUUUCUAUGGAUACUUGGGUGAUGGUGGAUAGGAUGGCACAGACCUGGACGCGUGUUUGUCAGAAGAGAUCUUGUAAUGUUGAGUACAAGAAGUGAACCUUGUUCUCUGGGCUGGUGCAGCUCUGUCCCAGCACACCCACUGUAACCCGUAGAUGGUGCAGUGGGAUUAGGUUUCGUCCUCUUGACUAAGUGCCCUUGGAGUGGGCACUUAGAGCAACUAAAUGGACAACUAGUGGAAAGAAUGCCCAGCAGACAAAAAACCAGGUGACCGACUAUAUAACCCUCUGAGGGUUGCUUGGUUUUGGGGUGGAUGUGUAUAUACUGAAGUUUAUUAUGUUUUGUUCUGUAUCCUUCAACUAUAAAUUGACUGUUUCUUAUGUGAAU